UACGUAGGUGGCAAGCGUUGUCCGGAUUUACUGGGCGUAAAGAGCGCGCAGGCGGUCGUUCAAGUCGCGUGUGAAAGCCCCCGGCUCAACUGGGGAGGGUCACGCGAUACUGAUCGACUCGAAGGCAGGAGAGGGAAGUGGAAUUCCCGGUGUAGUGGUGAAAUGCGUAGAUAUCGGGAGGAACACCUGAGGCGAAGGCGGGUUGCUAGGCUGACACUGACGCUGAAGCGCGAAAGCCAGGGGAGCAAACGGG
rnacentral:rRNA from 1 species